GACGAACGCUGGCGGCGUGCUUAACACAUGCAAGUCGAACGAAGUGGCGAACGGGUGAGUAACGCGUAAUCAACCUGCCCUUCGGAGGGGGACAACAGUUGGAACCGACUGCUAAUACCGCAUACUGAAGGAGGGGUUUGCGUCUGAUUGGCUAGUUGGGGGGGUAACGGCCCACCAAGGGGAUGAGCAGUAGCCGGGCUUGAAGGAGGAACGGGCAAAUUGGGACUGGGACACGGCCCAGACUCCUACGGGAGGGAGCAGUGGGGAAACUUCCGAAAUGGACGAAAGUCUGACGGAGCAACGCCGCGUGGGUGAUGACGGCCUUCGGGUUGUAAAGCUCUGUUAAUCGGGACGCGGUACCGGAAUAGAAAGCAACGGCUAACUACGUGCCAGCAGCCGCGGUAAUUC
rnacentral:rRNA from 1 species